AACGAACGCUGGCGGCAUGCCUAACACAUGCAAGUCGAACGAGACCUUCGGGUCUAGUGGCGCACGGGUGCGUAACGCGUGGGAACCUGCCCUUAGGUUCGGAAUAACUCCCCGAAAGGGGUGCUAAUACCGGAUAAUGUCUUCGGACCAAAGAUUUAUCGCCUUUGGAUGGGCCCGCGUUGGAUUAGCUAGUUGGUAGGGUAAAAGCCUACCAAGGCGACGAUCCAUAGCUGGUCUGAGAGGAUGAGCAGCCACACUGGGACUGGGACACGGCCCAGACUCCUACAGGAGGCAGCAGUGGGGAAUAUUGGACAAUGGGCGAAAGCCUGAUCCAGCAAUGCCGCGUGAGUGAUGAAGGCCUUAGGGUUGUAAAGCUCUUUUACCCGGGAUGAUAAUGACAGUACCGGGAGAAUAAGCUCCGGCUAACUCCGUG
rnacentral:rRNA from 1 species